rnacentral:rRNA from 1 species
AAAUUUUACGUAUUGUAUAAAGAUCUCAUAAAGAUUAGCUUAGAAGCAGUUAUUCUAUAAUGAAAGCGUAGUAGCUCAUAUGUUUAGUACAGUAAGUAAACAAAUGUCCGGGAAUAAGAAAGAACUGAAACUCACUAAAAGAAAGUAAA